rnacentral:rRNA from 1 species
CGCGAAGAACCUUACCUGGUCUUGACAUCCACGGAAGUUUUCAGAGAUGAGAAUGUGCCUUCGGGAACCGUGAGACAGGUGCUGCAUGGCUGUCGUCAGCUCGUGUUGUGAAAUGUUGGGUUAAGUCCCGCAACGAGCGCAACCCUUAUCCUUUGUUGCCAGCGGUCCGGCCGGGAACUCAAAGGAGACUGCCAGUGAUAAACUGGAGGAAGGUGGGGAUGACGUCAAGUCAUCAUAGCCCUUACGACCAGGGCUACACACGUGCUACAAUGGCGCAUACAAAGAGAAGCGACCUCGCGAGAGCAAGCGGACCUCAUAAAGUGCGUCGUAGUCCGGAUUGGAGUCUGCAACUCGACUCCAUGAAGUCGGAAUCGCUAGUAAUCGUGGAUCAGAAUGCCACGGUGAAUACGUUCCCGGGUCUUGUACACACC